rnacentral:tRNA from 1 species
GUCACUUUGGCGGAGUGGUUAACGCGCUGCCCUGCUAUCUCCGAUAGUGGUCAGGCAGUUCCUUCGGGAGCGUAGGUUCGAAUCCUACAGGUGACG